AGCAGCCGCGGUAAUUCCAGCUCCAAUAGCGUAUAUUAAAGUUGCUGCAGUUAAAAAGCUCGUAGUUGAAUUUCGGGACUAAUAUGUCGGUCGUGCCUCGGUACGUACUGGCAUUGUUGGUUUCUCCCUUCUGACGGACCAUGAUGUCAUCUAUUUGGUGUCGUGGGAAAUCAGGACUGUUACUUUGAAAAGAUUAGAGUGUUUAAAGCAGGCUCACGCUUGAAUACAUUAGCAUGGAAUAAUGAAAUAGGACGUUUGAUUCUAUUUUGUUGGUUUCUAGGAUCGACGUAAUGAUUAAUAGGGAUAGUUGGGGGCAUUAGUAUUCAAUUGUCAGAGGUGAAAUUCUUGGAUUUAUUGAAGACUAACUACUGCGAAAGCAUUUGCCAAGGAUGUUUUCAUUAAUCAAGAACGAAAGUUAGGGGAUCGAAGACGAUCAGAUACCGUUGUAGUCUUAACCAUAAACUAUGCCGACUAGGGAUCGGAUGAUGUUAAUUUUUAAUGACUCU
rnacentral:rRNA from 1 species